rnacentral:rRNA from 1 species
UACGGGGGGGGCAAGCGUUGUUCGGAAUUACUGGGCGUAAAGGGCUCGUAGGCGGCCAACUAAGUCAGACGUGAAAUCCCCAGGCUCAACCUGGGAACUGCGUCUGAUACUGGAUGGCUUGAAUUCGGGAGAGGGAUGCAGAAUUCCAGGUGUAGCGGUGAAAUGCGUAGAUAUCUGGAGGAAUACCGGUGGCGAAGGCGGCAUCCUGGACCGAAAUUGACGCUGAUGAGCGAAAGCUAGGGGAGCAAACGGG